CUCUGCGCCGAAAAUGUACCGGGGCUAAACGUAUCACCGAAGCUAUGGCAAUCCCGUAUGGGAUUGGGUAGGGGAGCGUUCCAAGGACAGCGAAGCCAGAUCGUGAGGACUGGUGGAGUGCUUGGAAGUGAGAAUGCCGGUAUGAGUAGCGAAAAGAUAGGUGAGAAUCCUAUCCGUCGAAAGCCCAAGGUUUCCUGAGGAAGGCUCGUCCGCUCAGGGUUAGUCGGGA
rnacentral:rRNA from 1 species